CAGUCACAGCAGGGUUCUGCGCAAGCUAGCACUUCCGCGGGAUCAGAUCAACCCGGAGCUUCGCGUGGAUCAUUCAUAGAGGUCAGACACGUGUGUGGCUACGAGGCUUGACUUUCAGAUCUUCAAAUCCAACCUCUUCAUCAUAAGGUAUGAGAUUUAUUUUAUCUUAGUUAGGUUUAGAACUUAACAAGUAUUGCUGAUUUUCUAAUUCUAUGAUUAAUCAUGCUUAUAGUUAUUUUUACAUAAAUAGUUUAAACGUUUCUGUAAUUUAUUUUUGAGAUAUGAUCUCCCUUGCAUGCUUGGAAUUAAAGAGUUUAAUUCUAUCUUUCCACUGCAUUUUUUUGAAAAUUUUUAAAAUUACAUGCAUGCAAAAACCGGCUUUUUCCUUUCAUCCACUCGUCAGUGACUUACUUAAUGCUGCAGUUGUAUGACUGGUCCUUUGAUCUGCGAUGCCUCGGCUAUUCACAGUGAGGUUGCUGUAGUUUGACGAGCACAUAAACAUGGGCCCUAUCCAUUUGGGUCCUUGUGAUGCAGAUUGACUGCAGUAGGUUCAUUGUAGGAGUAGGAGUACAUCUAGAUGGAAUCUAUCGAUCUUGAUAGAUUAGGAGAGAUCCUAUGUGAUUUGUGAGACUGAGUUCGUAAAUCCUUGGCUAAGGUAGUUUUUAGAAAAAGAGUUUUCCAAUCUCGAACUGGAGUCGAAUAAAUUUUACAUAUGACAGAUGAUGGGGUUUGAUGAGUUAUCCAUGACCUCCAUCCUGUCAGGAUCCACGAUAGAGGGAUUGUAUCAUACGCUAACUACACCUAGAGGUUCAUCUAUUCUAUUCUACUGGGUUGCCACUACAUGCUGCUACAUGUCACUGGUGGAUUGUGAGACUCAGAAGCAUUCACUUGAUGAUCAGUGAAUCCGAAUGAGAAGAGUUGGAAUUGUUCCAACCCAUUGAAAGAAGUUUCAAUGAUAUUGUGAUAGGGAUCAUAAUAUAUCUCACUACCAGACAGAAUAGAACCUAUGGGGUCGCACACAAUAGAGGAUCUGAUUGAUCUAAUGGUUGGAUUGUGAUUUCGAAUCACAAUAGUUUGUAAUUGUCAAUUUGAUUGAUAAUUAAUUUAAUCCACUAAGAGUUAGUGAGUUGAAGAAGGAAUUAAUUAUAAUUGGAUUGCAAUUUAAUUGAAUCAAUUGGACUUAAUUAAUUGGGCUCAAUCUUAUAUGAUAAGGUUCAAGAGUCCUACUUGGAGUAGGACACCUCUAAAGUUCUAAUUGGAUUAGGACUAAAAUUGUAUGAGUCCUAAUUGGAUUAGGACUCCUAGAGUCCUAAUUAAUUAUUGAUCUAAUAGAUGAAGAUGACUCCUAAUUAGAUUAGGAUUGAAGAGUUCAAUUGAGUCAUGAUCCAAUUGGGUCCUAAUUAGAUUAGAACUAAUAUGGAUAAGGAUUGGAUUCACCUAAUCCUCUUUAGAGGAGGAUUUCAGCAUCCAAUCAAAGGAGUCCCCACGCCCCACUUGAUUUGAUCAAGUGGGGCGUGCUCCCGAGAUCCACAUCUCGGAUGGCCGGGACGUGCAUCCCGAAUGGUUGGGACUCGCGUCCCAGGUGUCCGGGAUGCGAGACCCGGCUGGGGCAUGGCUCCUCCUAAUUUUAAGGAGGAGGCCACGCCUAGGGCAUCAAGAUGAAAAAGAAUAAAAAAGGGGCCAGCCCCCUUGGAAAAAAGACUCUUCUUUUCAUCAUGGCGGCCAUCUCUCCCUCUCUUCCUUCUUCCAUCCGCAAAGGCAAAGGAAAAGGGCAGCGAGCAUGGUUCUCCUUCUUCCUAUUCUUCAUCAGCCACAUGGAAGAAAACAUAGAGAGGUAGGUGUUCCUCUCUUCCCUCCUUAUUCUUCCAUGGUAAAGAAAAGGAGAAGGCGUUUCUCCUUCUCCUUCUUCCUUCUCUUGGAAGCAAUCAAGAGUUGAUUGCUUGGAGGAGUUCCAACCAUCAAAGAGGGAUCUCUGCAAGGGAGCUAGCACCCCGAUGAGAUCAUGACCUUGAUCGAUCCAGAUCUUCGUGUGGAUACCCGUAGAGGCCGAACGCUUAUGCAGCUUCAAAUGAACCCAAUUUUCAUGGUCAUCAGAUAGCGGUGAAGAUCUACCCGCUCAAAGAUAAAGAUUUAAUCUUUACAAUUAUUUUUGUAGAUCUGAAAAUUAAUCAAAUAAUUAAUUUUAACCUAUCCUUUAGAUUUAUAAUCUUUUGAGUUAGAGAACUCCGAAUUUUUGAAAUCUAUGUUCCUAGGGACGUUCAUGAGAUGAACGACCCCGCGCGUGUUUUUCCGCUGCGAUCGUCGCAACGCAUGCGGGGGUAACCCGAUAGUGGUAUCAGAGCCGUGUUUAUGGAAUUUAGAUUAAAAUUGAUAGGCUUGAUUAGGAUUUAAUUUAGAUCUGAAAAAUUUAUAUGCUUGCUGAAAUUUCUGCGUGCUGAAAUUUCAGAUUUCAGCAUGCAGAUUUUUGUUUAGAAAAUCUAGAUCUUGCAUGUUUAAUUUUAAUUGCAAUGAAAUUGCAAUAAUUAAAAUCAUAUCUUGCAUGAUCAGAAUUUCAGUUGAUGGUAUAUUUAAUUAAAAUUUCCAGAUCUGAAAUUACAUAAGAAGUAUGUGAUAAGAUUCAAUCAAAGAUUCAUGAUCAUAAAAGAUAAAUUUCUAUUUAUGCCUAGGCUUAAAAAGAAAUUGAUAUUUGCAUGAUAUGCAUAAGAUAUGAUCAAAUCAUAGAAUCAUGUUUAUUAACGGACAAUUUUGUUUAGGAUUGUGCUUAAAAAGAAAAUUAAUAUAUGCGUGAGAUGUAUAUAUAUGUUAAGCAAUGUUUACAUGGGAUGUAAAUAAAACCCAAAUAGGUUAGGUCAUUUACAUAAGAUGUAAACCUAAACUAAUAUGUCAUUUACAUGAGAUGUAAACACAUAACAUAUGAAAGAGUUUCAUGUUCACAUAAGAUAUAAACCUAAACAAAUAUGUCAUUUACAUAAGAUGUAAAUGCAUAACAUAAGAAAGGAGUUUCAUAUUUACAUAAGAUGUAAACCCUAAUCGAAACCUAAAUCGAUUAAAACCUCCUCAAUCAGUCGAGAGUGAAUGAUAUAUUGAGCUAGCCAUAUUUGAUUAAUUGUUCUAAUUGGUGUCUAGGAAAACAUUAAAGGUGGUUACUUAAUUAUGACCUUACUCUCUGAGUUAGGAGAGCCUCCCACCUGCUUACCUGAUCAAUUGAUCGAUUAUCACCUAUGAAGAGCUCAAAGUUGGAAUCACUAAGACUAGAUUACCUAAUAUCAAGUCUAGAGGUCUUCCACCGUAGUAGAGCUGCUAAGGUCUUUCCGGCGUUGAUUUUGUUAGAAGUAUGCCCUAGAAGCCAACAUGGCUGAUGCAUAUUUGUAAUCUGGGGCAUAAAUUUGUAAUUUGACUCUUAUUAAUAAAUAAGAUUGGGCAAUUUGUUUUUCAUUCAUGUUUUGUAUGUGUCCAUGAAUCGUCCAAGAAAUUAAUAGAUGAUGACACAUAUUCUUAAAGGAGUUGAGAUUUUGAGGCAUGUGUCAUUAGGGAUUAAUUUCUAAAUGCUCCUGAUCGAUGGAUCCAUCACGAGGAACGGUGAUCGAUCCGCUGAGAUUAGUACACAGAUCACUUAGUCAGAUGGACGAGUCUCGAGUCCAUGGUGUAGGGACACUAGAGUGAUUAUGCAAGUACUUGUUAGAGAACAAAGUACUGAGCAUGACCAAAGAUAGUAGUCACAUGGAUGUCUAUCCACUCGUCAGUGACUACUUAUGCUGCAGUUGUAUGACUGGUCCUUUGACCUGUGAUGCCUCAGCUAUUCACUAUGAGGUUGGUGUAGUUUGACGAGCAUGUGAACUUAGGCCCUAGCCAUUCGGGUCCUUGUAGUGCGGAUUGGCUACAGUAGGUUUAUUUUGGAAUAGGGUUGCAUCAAGAUGGGAUCUAUCGAUCUUAAUAGAUUAGGAGUGAUCCCAUGUGAUUUAUGAGACUGAGUUCGAUAAAUUCUUGGCCAGAUAUUUUGGAAAAAGAGUUUUAUAUAUCUCGAACUGGAAGUCGUAUAAAUUUGACAUAUGACGGACGAUGGGGUUUGACGAGAUAUUCAUAACCUCCAUCACGUCGGAUUUCAUGAUAGAGAGACUGUAUCAUACGCUAACUGCACCUAGAGGUUCAGACAUUCCAUUCUGCUGGGUUGCCACCAUAUACUGCUAGGUAUCACUAGUGGAUUGUGAGACUCGAAGGCAUUUACUUGGUGAACAGUGAACCCUGAGAGUAGAACUGAAAUCAUUUCAGUCCACUGAAAGAAGUUUCAAUGAUAUUGAGAUGGAGAUCUUAAUAUGUCUCACUACCAGUCAGAAUAGAACCUACGGGGUCACACACAUAGAGAAUUUAAUUAGUCAGACUAUCAUAAUUGUGAUUUGGAAUCACAAUAGAAAUCAAUCAUCGAUAUGAUUGGUGAUUGAAUUAACCCACUAAGUGUUAGUAAGUUAAUGAAAGAAGAAUUAAGUGGAAUUGAUUGCAAUUGGAUUGCAAUUGGGCUGAUUUAAUGAGCCAAAUCAAAUUGGGUUCGGCCCAAAUUGAUUUGGGUUCAUGAUUGGGUCAAUUUGAUUAAACCAAGAUUUAUGCGGAUUUUAAAGACCAUAUGUCAUCGUAGGAUGAAUAUGACUUAAGUCAUGUUCACACUAUGCGAACUUUAAAGUUCACAUGGCGUCGUAGGAUGCAUGCUCCCUGAUGAGAGCACAAAAGUGCGAUCUAAGUACCAAUUAACUUAGCCUAAUGCUAGCAAAAUAAUGAUAAAUAAUAGGUGUUAACAUUUGCAUGAUUAAUAUUUUAUCUUUAGCACUUAUUAUAGUUUUUAUCAUUAUUCUGUAUAAAUUCAUCUAAAAAGGAUGCAUCUUCCCAACUGUAGAAUAGAGUCCACGACUCUUCUUCUGCGCACCCGAGCGACUUUCCAAAUUUCGUGAUGCAACUCAAGCUUCCAGCCAUCUGCAGUCAAUUGACUUUGUGAUUCCAAAUCAGCAUCAUCCCAAGCGCCAGCAUCAGUUGUUUUUUCAUCUGCACCGUCCACGUCUGCCUCUUCCAAGCUUCAAUCCCGCAUCCAUCCGCUUCUCCUGCACCAUCACAGCAUCCGUGAAGCGUGCCAAGCCGUCCACGAUCAUCCCCAUUCCAUGCGCCUCCCAUGCUUCAGCCCGUGAUCACCCCCCAACAUCAGCGAUCUUCCGGAGUCUCAGAUCCACGGCGUCCGAGCAUCUUCUCCUACGAGCAAUCUUCCGUGAUCAUCCCGCGAUCAUCUCCUAGCCGUCCGCCUCCUCCAUCACGUCCGUUCUCGGCGACGGAUCCGGCUGUAAUCAGCUCCCGCAGGUCCCGCAUCCACUUUCCUCCUUCGCUCCAACGUGAUUUGCUUGGAAGAUUAUUCAAUAUUUAGGGAGGUUUUCAUUGUAUAAAAAGGGGAAACGGUGGCUCAUUUUGGGGGGAAGAAGAGGAAGAAUAGAGGAGCGGCCGGCCUCUUCGAUUCAAACAAAAACAGGGGCUGUGGUUGAAAGAAACAAAAAAAAAGGGGAGAAGGAAGAAACAGGGGAUGCCCUGUUCUUCCGAAAAGAAUAGAAUAAGAGAGGGAAAGGCUAAUAUUUUAAUGGAGGGUUGAUUUCUUAGGUGAAGGAUGAUGGAGGAACCUUUGAUGUAUUGCGCUUUCUUUGAAGUAAAUUCUGAACCUUCACUCUUAUAGA
rnacentral:lncRNA from 1 species